rnacentral:rRNA from 1 species
GUGGGGGAUAACCAUUGGAAACGAUGGCUAAUACCGCAUAAUAGCUUCGGCUCAAAGAGGGGGACCUUCGGGCCUCUCGCGUCAGGAUAUGCCCAGGUGGGAUUAGCUAGUUGGUGAGGUAAGGGCUCACCAAGGCGACGAUCCCUAGCUGGUCUGAGAGGAUGAUCAGCCACACUGGAACUGAGACACGGUCCAGACUCCUACGGGAGGCAGCAGUGGGGAAUAUUGCACAAUGGGCGCAAGCCUGAUGCAGCCAUGCCGCGUGUAUGAAGAAGGCCUUCGGGUUGUAAAGUACUUUCAGCAGUGAGGAAGGCGGGUGUGUUAAUAGCGCAUUCGUUUGACGUUAGCUGCAGAAGAAGCACCGGCUAACUCCGUGCCAGCAGCCGCGGUAAUACGGAGGGUGCGAGCGUUAAUCGGAAUUACUGGGCGUAAAGCGCAUGCAGGUGGUUUGUUAAGUCAGAUGUGAAAGCCCGGGGCUCAACCUCGGAAUUGCAUUUGAAACUGGCAGACUAGAGUACUGUAGAGGGGGGUAGAAUUUCAGGUGUAGCGGUGAAAUGCGUAGAGAUCUGAAGGAAUACCGGUGGCGAAGGCGGCCCCCUGGACAGAUACUGACACUCAGAUGCGAAAGCGUGGGGAGCAAACAGGAUUAGAUACCCUGGUAGUCCACGCCGUAAACGAUGUCUACUUGGAGGUUGUGGCCUUGAGCCGUGGCUUUCGGAGCUAACGCGUUAAGUAGACCGCCUGGGGAGUACGGUCGCAAGAUUAAAACUCAAAUGAAUUGACGGGGGCCCGCACAAGCGGUGGAGCAUGUGGUUUAAUUCGAUGCAACGCGAAGAACCUUACCUACUCUUGACAUCCUCAGAAGCUUGUAGAGAUACGAGUGUGCCUUCGGGAACUGAGAGACAGGUGCUGCAUGGCUGUCGUCAGCUCGUGUUGUGAAAUGUUGGGUUAAGUCCCGCAACGAGCGCAACCCUUAUCCUUGUUUGCCAGCACUUCGGGUGGGAACUCCAGGGAGACUGCCGGUGAUAAACCGGAGGAAGGUGGGGACGACGUCAAGUCAUCAUGGCCCUUACGAGUAGGGCUACACACGUGCUACAAUGGCGCAUACAGAGGGCAGCCAACUUGCGAGAGUGAGCGAAUCCCAAAAAGUGCGUCGUAGUCCGGAUUGGAGUCUGCAACUCGACUCCAUGAAGUCGGAAUCGCUAGUAAUCGUGGAUCAGAAUGC